rnacentral:lncRNA from 1 species
AGGCUUUUAAGAUUUUUACAUUUUCUUUGUAGUACGGACAAACGGCUCUUCAUUGGGCAGCGUUGUAUGGGUUCGGUGAAAUUGUAGCAAAUUUGUUAGAAAAAGGUGCAGAAGUGGAUGCCAAGGAUGAGGUGAGGAUAGAUAUGUAUGUUGGCCCCUUGUCUAUUUUUGGUCUAUUUCGUGUCAUCCCAUUGAAUUUCACUAGACAUAAUGUAAAUAGGACAUUAGGAUAUAGUGAUAUAUGUAUGUUUGUGCAGAUAUAGUCUAUCAUUACAUCUGUGACACCUGUAUUGCAUCCAACAUGACUGAUGUAUGUACACAAUGGACCCUAUUAAUACGGUCAACAAUUUAGGGCCAUUUAGUCGUGGUAACGGGGUAAUGGUGUUAAAACAGUCGUGGCCAUAUCUAGAUGUGUGGGAUAUUUGGAUCCAUGCAUCAUCUUAACUUCAUGAACGCGAUUGCGAAACGGUAAAAAACUAUGGCUGAAGAGAUCAGACUAACACAACCAAAACUGUGUAUUGGUUGCGGGGAUUGAGGUUGCCAUUGUAUUUCAACUCUUUUGUUGCCGUAUGUAAAUUUAGAAAAUAAUAUGUAAGUAGUUUAAUAUUGGGAAUGGUUCUACUUAUAAAUGGGCGAAAUAGGUUGGUUUCGCCAGGUUUCGCUAAGCACUAUCGUACAGAAGACGCAUGGUGGUCAAUCGGCAGUUAUCAGAGUGAGAAAAUGUUUUUAUUCAAUUGAAUAUAAUUGAGAAAUUUACCAUUAGUUAAAUAUUACAUUCUCCAAUAUAUUAAUGUUAACCUUUCUGGAGUUGAAUGUCAUCUGCUGCCCAAUUACACUUACUGAAAUCCAACAUUAUAGGCUACAUUGACUACAUUGGUCUGUUGUUGUUUCUAAAUCAAACCAUUGGCAGAAAAUUUGCAAAACAUUUAAGUUUCGUGUGUCAAUGGUGCAUGCCAAUUAAUAUUUUUGCACGUGCUAUGCUUGUCACUGCAAAAUUGCAGUUGAAAUAAAGCCUAUCAAGGCUUUAAGAUUUUUACAUUUUCUUUGUAGGACGGACAAACGGCUCUUCAUUGGGCAGCGAUGUAUGGGUUCGAUGAAAUUGUGGCAAAUUUGUUAGAAAAAGGUGCAGAUGUGGAUGCCAAGGAUGAGG